UCUCCGUUGGUGAACCAGCGGAGGGAUCAUUACCGAGUUUACAACUCCCAAACCCCUGUGAACAUACCAUCUGUUGCCUCGGCGGUGGCUGCUUCGGCAGCCCGCCAGAGGACCCAAACCCUUGAUUUUAUACAGUAUCUUCUGAGUAAAUGAUUAAAUAAAUCAAAACUUUCAACAACGGAUCUCUUGGUUCUG
rnacentral:misc_RNA from 1 species